rnacentral:rRNA from 1 species
UACGGGGGGGGCAAGCGUUGUUCGGAAUUACUGGGCGUAAAGGGCGCGUAGGCGGCACAGCAAGUCGGGAGUGAAAGCCCGGGGCUCAACCCCGGAAUGGCUUUCGAAACUGCUGAGCUAGAGUACAGAAGGGGCAACCGGAAUUCCCAGUGUAGCGGUGAAAUGCGUAGAUAUUGGGAAGAACACCUGAGGCGAAGGCGGGUUGCUGGGCUGAUACUGACGCUGAGGCGCGAAAGCCAGGGGAGCAAACGGG